UAGUUAUUUCAUUUUAACUCCCUGAGUCUCGCGCCAGCCUACCUCGGGGGACACGGCGGGCUCAUCUGAUUUAACUAAUUACACUCGAUGAGAAAAUUGGGUGUUAAUUUUGUUUAGGGCUGGAGUGGUGCUUUAUUUAUUUAUUUAUCUACCUAUCUAUCCCUCGCUAUCUAUCUAUCCAUUUAUUUAUUUAUUUGCCAAGAGGAGGCGUAAUGAAAAUGAAAUUAAAAGGCGCCUUGGCAGAUGGAUGAUCCGGGUCACACUGCAAUCUUCUCCCGCCUUGAUUGCCUGAUUAGGUCGUUAGUUCUCCUCUCGGAGAGAAAAAAAAUUGUUUCACAUCCAACUGUGCCUGAUGAGAGAGAUGUGUAGCAGCCGAAGAUGGAGGUAGCUCCGUCUUCAUGGCUAGCAUCUCUCGUGCGUACACGUCUGGGUAGUGUGCUUCGUUGAAGGCCUUCUCUAACUCCUCCAACUGGUGGACUUGGCAAUUGUUCCAAAACUGGAGACGUCUUCAGCCAUCAAAGAAAAUAUAACGAAAUCUCUACUGCACGCACACCCACAGAUGUCUUCAGCUACAGGUCUCAAAAGACAGAUCAGAUCCUUCACAAUAUUUCAAUGCACUCCUCAGAAUGUUGAAUCUGAAAAAAAGAAAAGAAAUUCUAUAUUGCAAAAUG